UACGAAGGGGGCUAGCGUUGCUCGGAAUCACUGGGCGUAAAGCGCACGUAGGCGGCUUCUUAAGUCAGGGGUGAAAUCCUGGAGCUCAACUCCAGAACUGCCCUUGAUACUGAGGAGCUCGAGUCCGGAAGAGGUGAGUGGAACUGCGAGUGUAGAGGUGAAAUUCGUAGAUAUUCGCAAGAACGCCAGUGGCGAAGGCGGCUCACUGGUCCGGUACUGACGCUGAGGUGCGAAAGCGUGGGGAGCAAACAGG
rnacentral:rRNA from 1 species